rnacentral:rRNA from 1 species
AAUGAACGUUGGCGGCGUGGAUUAGGCAUGCAAGUCGUACGCACAGCAAUGUGAGUGGCGCAAGGGUGAGUAAUGCGAAGGUAACCAACCCUGAAGUUGGGCAUAGCCGCGGGAAACUGCGGGUAAUUCCCAGCGACGUUGCGAGAUGGCAUCAUUUUGCAACCAAAGGUGUGAUUCCGCUUUAGGACGGGCCUUCGUGGUAUUAGGUAGUUGGUGAGGUAACGGCUCACCAAGCCUACGAUGCCUACCGGGUGUGAGAGCAUGACCCGGCACACUGGAACUGAGACACUGUCCAGACACCUACGGGUGGCAG